CCCUUAGAUGUCCUGGGCUGCACGCGCGCUACACUGAUGUGUCCAGUAAGCACCUAACCUAUUCCGAGAGGAGCGGGUAACCUUAGCAAAGCACAUCGUGAUGGGGAUGGAUUAUUGCAAUUAUUAGUCUUGAACGAGGAAUUCCUAGUAAGCACAAGUCAUCAGCUUGUGUUGAUUACGUCCCUGCCCUUUGUACACACCGCCCGUCGCUCCUACCGAUUGAAUGUUCCGGUGAGCUCUUCGGACUGCGCGGUCUGCAGUUUCUGCGUUCCGUGCGGAAAGUUGUGCAAACCUUAACAUUUAGAGGAAGGAGAAGUCGUAACA
rnacentral:rRNA from 1 species